rnacentral:rRNA from 1 species
GAUGAACGCUGACAGAAUGCUUAACACAUGCAAGUCAACUUGAAUUUGGGUUUUUAACUUAGGUUUGGGUGGCGGACGGGUGAGUAACGCGUAAAGAACUUGCCUCACAGCUAGGGACAACAUUUGGAAACGCAUGCUAAUACCUAAUAUUAUGAUAAUAGGGCCUCCUAUAAUUAUGAAAGCUAUAAGCGCUGUGAGAGAGCUUUGCGUCUCAUUAGCUAGUUGGAGAGGUAACGGCUCACCAAGGCGAUGAGGGGUAGCCGGCCUGAGAGGGUGAUCGGCCAAAAGGGGACUGGGACACGGCCCUUACUCCUACGGGAGGCAGCAGUGGGGAAUAUUGGACAAUGGACCGAGAGUCUGAUCCAGCAAUUCUGUGUGCACGAUGAAGUUUUUCGGAAUGUAAAGUGCUUUCAGUUGGGAAGAAACAAAUGACGGUACCAACAGAAGAAGUGACGGCUAAAUACGUG